CCUGGUGGCUCAGAUGGUAAAGCGUCUGCCUGCAAUGCAGGAGACCUGAGUUCAAUUCCUGGGUCAGGA
rnacentral:tRNA from 1 species